GACAGAGGGUGCAAACGUUGUUCGGAAUUACUGGGCGUAAAGCGCGUGUAGGCGGCUAAGUAAGUCGGGCGUGAAAUCCCACGGCUCAACCGUGGAAGUGCACUCGAAACUGCAUAGCUAGAGUCCUGGAGAGGAAGGUGGAAUGCUUGGUGUAGAGGUGAAAUUCGUAGAUAUCAAGCGGAACACCGGUGGCGAAGGCGGCCUUCUGGACAGUGACUGACGCUGAGACGCGAAAGCGUGGGGAGCAAACAG
rnacentral:rRNA from 1 species